UACGAAGGGUGCAAGGCGUUACUCGGAAUUACUGGGCGUAAAGGCGUGACGUAGGUGGUCGUUUAAGUCUGUUGUGAAAGCCCUGGGCUCGAACCUGGGAACUGCAGUGGAAACUGGACGACUAGAGUGUGGUAGAGGGCAGCGGAAUUCCCGGUGUAGCAGUGAAAUGCGUAGAGAUCGGGAGGAACAUCCAUGGCGAAGGCAGCUACCUGGACCAACACUGACACUGAGGCACGAAAGCGUGGGGAGCAAACAGGG
rnacentral:rRNA from 1 species